GGUCGGCCGCUAGUGCCUGUGCCCCUACACUUUGUGCUUUCUAAACGAAUCUUAUCCGACCCACAACUGUGGGCUCGCCUACAUGCUGCGACGUUACACAUAUAACCAUUUUUCGGAUAGUUCAUAACAGACAUGCGAGGAAGGUGACAGCAGCUGGUCCCGGGCGGCCGCCGCCCGCACCACACACCGGCCACACGGCCCUCACCGACACCACUCUAUGAGAACAAUACUUAGCGGAAGAUGCUGGGCGCGAAGUCGUGGCUGGUGCUGGCGGCGGUGGCGUGGUGCGCCCGCGCGGGGCCCGGC